rnacentral:rRNA from 1 species
AACGAACGCUGGCGGCAUGCCUAACACAUGCAAGUCGAACGAGACCUUCGGGUCUAGUGGCGCACGGGUGCGUAACGCGUGGGAACCUGCCCUUAGGUUCGGAAUAACUCCCCGAAAGGGGUGCUAAUACCGGAUAAUGUCUUCGGACCAAAGAUUUAUCGCCUUUGGAUGGGCCCGCGUUGGAUUAGCUAGUUAGUAGGGUAAAAGCCUACCAAGGCGACGAUCCAUAGCUGGUCUGAGAGGAUGAUCAGCCACACUGGGACUGAGACACGGCCCAGACUCCUACGGGAGGCAGCAGUGGGGAAUAUUGGACAAUGGGCGAAAGACUGAUCCAGCAAUGCCGCGUGAGUGAUGAAGGCCUUAGGGUUGUAAAGCUCUUUUACCCGGGAUGAUAAUGACAGUACCGGGAGAAUAAGCUCCGGCUAACUCCGUG